AUGUGAAGUGCUGGAACAACCAGAGAAAGAUACGAUCCUAGCAAUGAGAUACUUCCCUACCACCACUGUUGGGUAUGUCUUUCCAGACAAGACCAGAAGCCUCUUAUACAUGGUGAAUCCCACAGCGCAAAGGCUGUCCUCCUCCAGAACCUGUAUCAGUGUUAUAAAGUGCAAAAUGUUGCGCUUAGAGGGGUUGCAGAAGUUGAAUGAGGCAGAAUAUUGCAGAAAGAGAAAGAAAGAUCUCAAGAUCAAGAACACUUGAAGGCUGUUAGAUAUUUCCUGAUAUCCACCAAAGAUCUUUCUAUAGGCUUUUAUUGUCUGUGGAAAGUCACCAGACACAAUAUUGAUGGAUAACAGUAGAACACUUUAUUAAAGAACAAAUUGGAUUUAGAACAAAGUUACCUAAUGGAUUGCUUGAAUGUGCUACUGAAAGCCGGCCGAGACCUGGAGGUGGUCAUACAGAUGUCUUGCUAUUUGGAGACACCAUGCCUGGGGCCAAAAAUGGGUAUACCGUUUCUCAGAUGGCAGCAAUCUCAGAUGCAGAGAUUAAAGGAAACUAAGUUUGCCCAGGAUAUUAUAAUACUAGCUGACAGUUCAGAAUC